ACCUGUAUAAAUGUGAGAAUGGGUGAGAAUAUGAAUGACUCUAGUGUAAAGCGCUUUGAGUGGUCAAAAUUACUGGAAAACUGCUAGACAAGUUCAGUCCAUUUACCAUUUGAACACAACGAGUUUUGCUUGCCAUUCUUUGGCGUCAAAUUUAUUUGACGAUGUAAGACGUGUUCCUAUUGGUUAGCGCUGACUAAAGCGGAUGACGAACGAUGUAAGACGUGUUCCUAUUGGUUAGCGCUGACUAAAGCGGAUGACGAACGAUGUAAGACGUGUUCCUAUUGGUUAGCGCUGACUAAAGCGGAUGACGAACGAUGUAAGACGUGUUCCUAUUGGUUAGCGCUGACUAAAGCGGAUGCCUCCGACUCCCUGAGAUCUCAGAGCUCUGUCCGAACUGCUUCGCUUCGGUGACGGGACACAGGAUGUGACUGAAUGGUUUGCGUCAUAAAGCUUCUUGAUGCGUUUCUGAGCCAUGAUUGAGACGCUGUAUGAUGUUCAACCAGGACAGGUUGAACCCCUGAGACCUUCCUGAGGUUAAAUGACCUUUCCCUUGGAUCCAAACACCUGGACCUGCUGACCACUACCGUCCAUCGGUCAGCUGGAUCGUCACAGUGUUGACUAACUUUUUAUUUACAGUAAAUUAGGAUCUGGAAACCGGAGGACCAGACAUGCAAAAAUCUACCUGCAGACUUUAACGCUGCAGUGAUCCUGCACUGAGCUGAUCUGCUGCUCUUCUCCUCCACAGUGACGAGUUUUCAUCACCAGUAAAGACAAACAAAUCUGACAUCUGAGUAACUGCUGGGAAGUUUAUUAAAUAUUCACUGUUCAUUUUGUUAUCCUGUUGGUACUUAUAAUAAAAUUUAAUCUCUUUUGUAAUAUUCUGCCCAAUA